GCCUGCGGCCAUGCCACCCUGAACAAGCCCGAUCACGUCUGAUCUUGGAAGGUAAGCAGGGUCGGGCAUGGUUAGUACUUGGAUGGGAGACCACCUAGGAAGAUCAGGUGCUUGCUGUAGGCA
rnacentral:rRNA from 1 species